rnacentral:lncRNA from 1 species
CGGAGCAGCAGGAUGGGGCUGGCCGCCGCGUCGGCCGCCUGCCUGCGCCGGGGCGGCUGGUACUCGGCGCCGAGGCUGAGCAGGCUGUACACCUGCCCGUUGUUCUCCCACUGGAUCCGCUGCCUCCAGACGGCGGGCGGCGGCGGCGGGGGGUCGCGGCGCGGCGGCGGCGGCUGCUGGCAGCCGGCGGGCCGCAGGCAGCUCCAAUAGAUACACGCGUGGAGCUGGGCGAGCAGGAGCCCCGGCGGCGCGAAAUGCAUCUUCUUCUUCUUCCUCCCCGGUUUUGCCUGGAACAAUCAGUGACUAAGACUGAGGAAAAUGGAAAGCUUGAAAAUAAGGAAAAUACAACACUGAAGAAACAAGCAAGGGGAGAAGUCCUUGUAAAUCUUCUACAAGGUGGAACACUAUUCAACAUACCACAAAAGCAGAACGUGUUUGCAGAAAUUUUGGAACAUGAUUUCACUAUGCAUCUCAUCAAAGAUGUUUAGACUGUGCAGCAGCAAUAUCUCYAAAACAAAGCUAACUUUGUAAAAAUGGCAUAAAGGAGCUUUAGAUUCAUACAGUCUCAUUCAUUUUUGUAUCUAAGUCACUUAGGUUACAAGUAAAAAUAAUCUGUAACUGUCCUCU